rnacentral:rRNA from 1 species
UACGUAGGGGGCAAGCGUUGUCCGGAAUCAUUGGGCGUAAAGAGCGCGUAGGCGGCCCAGUAAGUCCGCUCUGAAAGUCAGGGGCUCAACCCCUGGAUGCGGGUGGAUACUGCUGGGCUAGGAGUCCGGAAGAGGUGAGUGGAAUUCCUGGUGUAGCGGUGAAAUGGCGCAGAUAUCAGGAGGAACACCGGUGGCGAAGGCGGGUCUCUGGGCAGUUACUGACGCUGAGGAGCGAAAGCGUGGGAGCGAACAGG